GGCUUCCCAGCACCAGCAUGCAGGGACCACUCCAGGGGGUCCUAGUGGGGGCCUGAGGGGUUGAGGAGGGGAUGGGUCCCAAGAUCCCUGCCCAGAGUGAGCCCCAGUAGGACCCUGAGAAUUUGGUGUUGGAGGGGCACCAGGCUGAGGGAGGAGGGCCAGUCCCCAAGAGAAGACGGGGGGUCCACCCCCAGCUCCUUCCCUGCCCCUGCCUGCUGGAGGGCACCAAAAACACCUUCGACCUAGACCAGCUGGCUGUUUCAAAGCCCUUUCAGGCCCUGGACAAGGACAGAGGUCCCCAUUUUACUGAAACUCUUGUUUUCCACCAAAAUCAGUCAGCCUCAAUUCUUGAGGGUCCUCGGAGUCCCCCUGAAGAGCCUCAGAGGGAGGAGGCAUGGGGAGGGGUUACAGACCUGGAAGGCUGUGGACACUGUCCCCCCAGGGCUGGCACAUCUGAUCACCCCCCAGCCCUGAGCAGCUGCAAAGCACCACUUCCUCCCCUUCCCCCAGCCCUCCUCUGGGUCCCUCUCCCCCCCAUCCAGGUCCCAGAGAAAAGAGAGCCCCACCCCGCACGGCAUCCCACUUCCUGCAUCUGUCACCUGCGCCGCUCAGAUCCCUGUCCCCAAUGAGGAAGCAGAGGUGACUCCACCGCUGUGCUGGCUCCCCCCUCCCCCACCCCUGGUUCCGGGCACCUGACUCCACAUCAUUCAUCCUCAAGGCUGGCGCCUUUCCGUCAACGCCGAAGCCACCAAGACCCUCCGUGUUAACAUGAGCGCCCCGAGCUCGCCUCCCUGUCGGCCCCCUUUCCUCACGGCCACCCUCUAGAGAGAGAUGUCCACGCCCGGCUCCGCUUCCUCCUCCCUUCCUCCCUUCCUCAUUCCUCAGUCCCUGGCUGCCCUGCAACCGCUCAGAGCUCUUCUCUGCUGCGCCAGGUCCGCUCUGUCCUCCUCUUCCCUGCUCCCCCCGAGCGUCCACCUCUUCCGCAGUUCCUGUCCCCCUCGAAGCUCCCUCUGUCUGUCUGGGUCACACUGCUGGAGUUCUCCCUCUGCGAGUGGCAGACAGCGGGAUGGGGCAGAACGAGGGCACUGGCAUCAGACACCCUGGUUCAAAGAGGCCUCGCUGCCUGCCAGCUGGGCGGCCUUGACCACAUCCCUUCACCCUCGGUGCCUCGGUCUCCUCAGCUGUAAAGUGGGGGGACAGCAUGGAAGGGACCUCUUGGAUCCUGUGAGGAUUCAGAAGUACGUGCCCUCCCUUAGCACGGACCGGCGCAGAGCGCCUGCUGCUCGGAGCAGCGGGAGGGGGCACCGGUUCUGGGCUCUGCCUGGUGGCCCGUGGCACUGGGCCACCAGUGACAGCAGUGGGCCAGGUAGCCACGGGCUUUGGGCAGCGAGGGUGACCUGGGAAUGCCAGUGAUCUUAGAAGCCCCAGGCACGCUCAGCCAGUCCAUGCAUUGCUCUUCCUGGGCAUGGGGUGGGGACAUUUCGAGGGGUUCAGUCAUGUGCACGGAAUACUGUGUUUUCCCCUCUGCUGCCACUGCUCCCAAGGAGGUCGAGUCGCCCCAGCCCACCCUACUCUGGGCAUCUCUAUCCAGAGCAUGGAGGCCCCUGGGGCAUAGGGGUGCGGGCUGGCCACAGAUGGGUUAACUCCUGGCCUGGCUCCUAGACAGGAUGCUUCCUAGGGCACACAAUGCCCCCUCCACUCCUUGCCUUUCCUUGGUCCCCAGAGCAGCAGGCACCCCUCCCUUCUCACAUCCCCCUCCACUCCCUCUGACCGACCGAAGGGGACAGAGGGCUCCCCCAGGUGGCCAAAUGUGCCAAGGCCAGAAGCUGGGGAGUCUGCAAGGACUGGCUUCAAGCAUCCUGCCCCUUCAGCCCCGUAAAUACGUCUGCAUGGUCAAGACUAGGUGUUCCAAUUUGGGGUUCGGAAAAAUCAGGUCCCCUGUAUGUGUAUUGGUAUCUGUAUGAAACCAGCAAUGUGUGUGAUCCACGUGUUGUGAAGUAUUCCUAGCCAGAUGGUAGGGAAUUGCUUGCAGCCAUUCUGAACACCGGGGGAGGAUUAUCUGCAGGGCCUGGCCUAACACUCUGCCUUGUGUCGUGGGUCACAGGAUGCAGAGGCAUGGGGACAGGAAGCAGAGCGCAGAGGCCCAGCUAGAAGCCAAAAACACACCAGUACCAGUAAUCACCACCAUUUACCACAGGCCUUCUGUGUGUCUGUCACCAUGCCCUGGGCUUUCCUUCCUUCGUUUCCUUUACUUCUCACAACCACCUAGGAAACAGACAUUAUUAUUAUCCUCACUGAGCAGAUGGGGAAACUGAGGCUCAGUGAAGUUAAAUCCCUUGUCUAAAAUCACACAGCUAGGUGAAGACUGAAUUGGAGCUCAGACAUGUCUGACUCCAAAUGCCUUGCUCUUAUGCAAGUCUGCCUAUGCACGGGAAGAUCAUCUGGCAGAGAACUAAGAGAGACAUGAGUAUACUCACGAGACGCUCAUGGGGGAGGCUGGACAACUCCUUCCCACCCCAAGAGCACACACAGCAGGUGCUCAGCAGAAGCAGGUGGAACUACGACGGGUCAGUUACACAGCACAGUGAAUACAUGCAUAUGUACAUACAUACAUACAUGUAUACAUACAUGUGAGAGAAAGGGGAGGUAAACCAGCGGGCCCUCCAAGGUGUGCACACAGGCCGGGGGGCCUGAUACCUGCCCAUGAAUGCAGGCAGGCUCUGGACUUGGGUAUUGGUCCUUCUAGAAUGUGGACACCUGGACACCAUGGAGUGCACUAAGAUCCAGAGGGUUCCAGCGAUGCUGCAGCCUACCCUCGGCUCACUGGCAGGCCGAGGCCCAGUGUUCUCAACCCAGACAGGUUCUGGUGAUAGCCACACACGAGCAGGGACACAUAUAUGAAUGUGGGCUCCAUCACACACGCCCCCCCACACAUACAUCUUCCCAAGACAGAGCCUGCUGCCGCCAUCUGUUCUGUGCAGACACAGUCGAAGUCUUGGGCACAGAGUCCAGCUCACACUGACAAGUACACACACACACACACACACACACACACACACACACACACAUACAUAGAGCUCUCAGAGAGAAGGGAAGAAAGGUCGAGCUGUCUGGGGGGCUGAAAGUCGCUGCAGCCCCAUAGACACUGGGGCCUAAGCCCUGGCAUCAACCCCCUGGGUGGCAGAGUCUGUCCUCAGGGGGCCCCCUCCCACCUUCCCAGGCCGGGAGACUGUCUUCUGCCCUCCCAUUUGAAAGGCUCGGCCCAGGCCUGAAAUGCCCAGGAUGACCACCAGGGGGCGCGUGAGCAUUGAAUAAUCCUUUCAGCCAGGCCUCCUCCCCAAACCCUCCUUCAUUCAUUCUUAAAUAUGUAUAAAGCCCCCCUUCUGUGCCUAUGCUUCUGUGGGACUGGAGGUUACGGGGAAGGCGUUGGUGGGGGUCUGGGUCAGAACUAACAGCUAGAAUGUACUGAGCACCGGCUGUGUUCAAGCUCUUCUAGAUUUUCAUAUGCAUUGACUCACUUAAUCCACAACUGUAUGAACUAGGUACUCCCAUUCUUCUGCUCUUAUUGUGGCUAUUGUGGGUGCAGUAGAGCAGGUAUAAUGACAGUGACUUACCCCACAGAGUUGUUAGAAGAAUUAAAUGGAUCAAUAGGCUUAUGUGCAAACCACUCGGAACACUGCCCAGUUGUCAGCACCAUCCCCAUUUUACAGAUGGGGAAACCAAGGCACAGUUAACAAGGAGUGGCCUCAGGAUUCAAUCCUGAGCAGGCUGUUUCCAGAGUAUGGCCUUACUGAGUUACUAGACCCCCUGGGGUCCAGCAGGUCCAAUCAGGGGGUCCUGGGGGCCAUGGGGGGCCACUGGAGAAUUUUAGCAGGGAAGGGACAAGACCUAGUUUGCAUUUCAUGCUGGCUGUAGGGUGGGCCAGCCUGGUGGCAGGCGGACUGGUCAGUUGGAGGCCGUCACCAUGGUCCCAGCUGUGACAAGGAUGGCAGUGGAGGGGUAGAGGGGAGAAGACAGAUUUGAGAGAUAUUAAGGAAGCAGCCUGAAGGGUCUUGGUGACCAAUUUCAUGCCAGAGCUGGGGGAGGGAAGAGGCAGAAAGCAGUGGAUGGGGAAGAAGACCGGGGAGAGGGUAGGAGCGUGUGGGGCAUCUGAAGGGAGAAAUGUGUGGGUCCCCAACCUGCCCUCUGGCCUUGCCCUGGGGGAGGGCUCCUCACCCUCAUGGCUGAAGAAGAUAAAGGAAAAGCAGCCCCCAGAGCCCUCUGCCCCAUCUUUCCUGGAAAGCCUGGGAACAGAGUGAGGGCUAGGAACCCUAAACUCUGGCUCCCUUCUGUUCACAGCCUAUGGGGCUCUGGGCUCCACAGGCAUGGCACUGUGCUGGUCUGUCCCAUCCCACCCUGCACCCUGGCCCUUGCUCACAGGGCAGGACCUGGGACUCCCACCCACCCUCUCUGGCUGCUUGUCCCCAGCACUGGGACAGAGUGAAAACAUCCCCCUCCCCUCCCAGACACAUGGAGGCUUCAGCCUUACAGAGCUUUCUCCUCUACAGGAUCACACUGAACCCUCACAACGACCUGGGAGUAGCCCUUAUUAUCUUGGAUUCACAACUGAGGGGCCACCUCAGACACAGGUAAAGGGGCCUGCCCUGGGCUACACAGCUUGUGCCUGGACCAGCCUUCUGCCGGGACUUUUGCAUAAAUCAUGGGCUCUUACCCCCUCCACUCCCAGCACCACCAGGCCCUUGGUGGCCAUCUUGGGGAGGUGGAGGCAGCUCUGCCCUGCAGCUUACUUGUCUCUGUGCAGAGCUGAGAAUGGGGCUGAGACUGGGGCAUGGUGUGGAGUCACCAGGGCUCCAGGUAGAGGAACCGGGAGCCGUGGGGAACCAGCUGGGGCACCGGGUCUCCCAAAGGGACCGGGUGGAGUGGGAGGUGCCUAGGGUAGCAAGUGGGGACAAAGAGAGCGCCAGCACACCUGGCAGCCAAGCAGCCAAGGAGCUGAGCCCGCCAGUCCAGAUUCAAAGCCGAGCUGAGGCUGUGAUUGGUGGCCAGGGUCCCUCACUCCACCCCUUCUCUCUCACCUCCCAGGCAGCUGGGAAAGGGGGAUGGAGCUGAGAAGGCCCCUCAUCAUAAAUCCUCAAGCACUGAGGGGUGGCCUGGCUGGCAGUGAACUCAAUUAACUCCCUCUCGUGCCCCAAGCCCUGCCGGGACCCUGUCUGCCGUUCUGGGGCCGCCAUCAGCCCUGAUGGCUCCCCAAGCUGCCAGGCUUGGGUGGCCCAAGCCUCAGGUCACCCAACCACCCCUCCUCUGAGGCGUCCUUCAGCCCGCGGCCUCCUCCGCUCCUUUCCCCCCAGCUCGUCCUCUCGGAGUGUGCCCUGUUCUCUGACCCCUCUCCCCGUCUAGGCUCCCGGAAGGGGCAGCUUCCUGGGCCCUAGCCCCUUUCCAUUUGGGCACCCUGGCCCUCCCGUGCCCGGAAACUCUGCUCUCCAGGCCUCCCCACGGGGCGGCGGCCGAGGCCUCUCUGCCCGGGCCCCGGGGGACCCUGCGCGCAGCUGGGCCGCGGCGGCGGUGGGGCCGCUGGGUGCACAGGUUGCCGGGCUCCGCGGAGGGCUGGCCGAGGGGGCUGGGCAGGAACCCGGCUCCGUCCGGCGCCCCGCCCCCGGCGCAGAUGGCGCGGCCGCGGGCGGGUCCCGGCCGCCGGUUUGGGCUCGGGUUUCGGCCGCGAGGGGCGGGGCGGGCUCGAGGGGCCUGCUGAGGCCGCGGCCAAUCAGCGCCCGGCCGGACUCCCCAGCCGCCAAUCCCGGCCUGGCCCGGCCGCCCCCGCCCCACCGCGUCCUUUGUUCCCGCUCUCCCUGGCGGCCCCCGGCGCGGCCCUCGCGGCCUUGGCCCUGCGACUUCCGGCGCACGCGGACCGGGCUGUGUGCACGCCCCCGUGUACUCGGUGGAUGCGAGGACCAACAAGGCAGCAUGUGGAGAGCCUUGGUUUGGUGUGAUUUCCUUGUGCUGAGCCCUUUCCUGGCUGAGCCUUUGGGACAGCGUUUGGACCCCAGCAGAGAGCCAGGCAGAGACAGGUGCUCAGAAGGUGGUGGUGAUGAAUGAACGCCCUUCUCCCAGCAAAUGUGACUUCUCUGCAUCCAUUCAUGUGACUCACGUCUUCUUAGAUCUCUCUGGCUUAAAAACUGUCCUACUGCAGCUACAGAGUGGAAAGCGCCCACAUUUUGUGGCCAGAAGACCUGAAUUCCAGACCCGGCCUGUUGUCUAGAUCGCGUCUCUGAGCCAACAGGUCCUCAUGGUCACGUGGGGCUGAUUCCCCUCCCCCAGGCUGGCUCGGAGGAUUAAAGGCAUUUAUCUUGUGCAGGGGACACAGGGCACAGAGAUACCACCCAAAUGGCAGCCACAAGAGGACUCCGCUCAAAGUGCUCUUCCUUGGGGGCCUCCCUAGCACAUGUGUGCAAUUUCCCCUGUAUUGUUCUCUAAUCCUUGAUGGUUACUCUGUAAUUGCUCUCAAAUGGUUUCAUCAUAAUAAAUAGCAUCUGCAGAGCCGUUUACGAACUGUACCUUUUUCCUCAUCCCUUUCCCACCUUUACAAAAAGAAACUGAGGCUCAGAGAAGUGAAUUGAUUUCUCUAAGACCACACAGUGAGGAGGAGGCGAGCUCACCCCUCCUUGGCCCGUGGGGCCUGCAGGCCCCCAGCCCACUGUGUCCCCAGUUCCAGGCAGGGGAGGGAGGGACAGAGAGGGAGCUUGGCAGGAGUCCAGGGGCUACCUGGGGUCUGAUGGCUGAGGGAGGAGACGGGCAGUUCACUCGGCCCCAGGCAGGCUGGGUGCAUGGGCGUCCAUGCAGAAUCAUGCACUCACCUGUGUGUGCAGGUGUGCAGGCUGAGACCAGGUGACCCCCAAGGGGGCUUAUAGAGGGAUCACGCCUCUGGGGUGGGAUGUGGGACUAGGUUGGCU
rnacentral:lncRNA from 1 species